UUCGAUAUUUAUAAUUAUGAAAUCGGUAACUGUCUUGAUGCGGACGCGCGCAGUUAUAGGUAUAAAUAUAAUCGCUGAUGAUCGCUUUAAGCAAUUGUGAUUUUAAAUAACCGAUUAACGACGAGAGAGUUUAAGUGCGCAUAAAAAUGGCUUAUCAAAAUGUUCAAUGGCGCCAGGCGACUUACUACCCACUAUAUGCAAUGCCAUUACAAAAUAAUUCCUCUCGCAAUCCAACUAUGGGCUGGUGUACAUAUGGCAGCCAAAGUGUGCAGUAUACCCAAAGUGUACAAACAACGAAUUUAAACUUAGCUGCCCAGAUCAGUGGCUUAGAAUGCCAACUGAUAUCGGAGCUGGAUGCAAGAGGCAAGCGAGAAAUCCAGCUGAAAACUGUAUUGCAGAGGGAGGCGGAUUUACUUGAAGAAAACAAAAAGCUGCUUACGGAAAAGACCAGACUGACGAAUUCGCUAAAAGCUGUCAAAGAUGAGCUGGAGAAUUUCAAAUCACAACUGAAGCGGGAGUCGAAUGCUAAAUCGCAACAAGCAAUCCAGCUGAAAAUAGUUAUACAGAAUGAGGAGCAUUUGAUUAGUGCUAACCAAAAGCUGAUAGCCGCAAAUGCUUUGUUGACGAAUUCGCUGAAUGCUAUCAAAGACGACAUAGCAGAUGUUGUUAAUGCCAAACUGAAAUUAUCAAAGCUAGAAGACAAACUUGCCAAGCUCAAGUGUGAGCUGGACCACCGCAACGCACACGUGAAUGCGCUGACUGCGGUCAACGAAAUGCUUUUGAAUGGCAACGAGAAGCGGGACGAGACCAUUGCAAAAUACAAGCGAAAAUUGCAGAAAUACACGAAUUUCAACUCAUCAUCUGACUGUGAAUCGCUGCUAGAAAACAGUUCACUUGUACAUGUCAGAUGCAACACUCCAAGCCCAAGACGCAUUGGCUGUAAGGCAUUGCAUGCGCUCAGUUCUCUUGGAGCUGAGAACAGCAUAGGGCCCUGGUUAUGUUUGCCCUGCGGCAACAGUACAUCCCCCAUUAAGUUUUCAUCGUAUGCCGAGCUUCGUCGACAUUUAUCUGAGGUGCACAAGGAGCUCAUUGAUCCGGCUCUGUGUGAGCUAUGUGGUUGGCGUUCUGGCAGCGAUCGGGAGCUUCAUUUUCAUAUGUUUAAAAAACAUCAAAUAGAAUCGCUGUUUUACACAUUUUCCAGGUCGGCAAUCUUGGACAAGUGACAACAGGAAUAAUUUUUUAAAAAUACUUAAAUUUUAUUCAGUUUAAAUUGAUAGCCUUAGGCUCAAAAAGUUUUUUCUUAGCAGUUUUUUUUAUAAAUUUUUUGUAAAUGGAAGUAGGCGGCAAAUAUUUGAUUUCUACUUUUGUUUUUUAAUAUUUUGAAAGUAUGCCGGCACCAGAAGCAAUUUCCUUAAGUGAAACACAAUGCAAAAACGGGUUAACAUAAAAUAAUUCGUUUGUUUAAAAAAAAAAUUCAAAAUGGGGAAAGAAUCUACAUCUGUAACAGCCAUUGUUAUUUAGAACCCUGAUAUAUACUUAGUAUACCAUAUACCGAUAUAACUAGCAACCUACUUCUGGAAGCAAUCGAAUCGUACGAUGCCAUUCUCAUUGAUCAGACAUGAGUGUAUAUCAAUCACUUUGAGAUGUCGCCCCUCGCUGCGUAUAAACUUGUUGAAUCGGGACACCUUGUCGCAUGUCUGCUUGUCGUGGCGACAGUUGGCCAGCGGUGCCAAAGUGGUCAGCACUGGCACAAAUCUACGGCUGUGCAUCUCCUUCACCAGCAGACGGAAAUCGUGCUCGAUCUGCACCAACGACCUGCCGCGCAUUAUGUCCUCGGAGCCGAUGUUAACAAUAAUUUGUGUCAUCUCGGGCAGCUCCACUAGGCGCAACCGCUGCCGUGCAGCAUUUAUGGUUUGUCCAGAGAUGCACAGACCAGACU